rnacentral:rRNA from 1 species
AGCGAACGCUGGCGGCAUGCUUAACACAUGCAAGUCGCACGGAUCUUUCGGGAUCAGUGGCGGACGGGUGAGUAACGCGUAGGGAUCUAUCCAUGGGUGGGGGACAACUCCGGGAAACUGGAGCUAAUACCGCAUGAUACCUGAGGGUCAAAGGCGCAAGUCGCCUGUGGAGGAACCUGCGUUCGAUUAGCUAGUUGGUGGGGUAAAGGCCUACCAAGGCGAUGAUCGAUAGCUGGUUUGAGAGGAUGAUCAGCCACACUGGGACUGGGACACGGCCCAGACUCCUACGGGAGGCAGCAGUGGGGAAUAUUGGACAAUGGGCGAAAGCCUGAUCCAGCAAUGCCGCGUGUGUGAAGAAGGUCUUCGGAUUGUAAAGCACUUUCGACGGGGACGAUGAUGACGGUACCCGUAGAAGAAGCCCCGGCUAACUUCGUG